rnacentral:rRNA from 1 species
UGGGGAAUUUUGGACAAUGGGCGCAAGCCUGAUCCAGCCAUGCCGCGUGGGUGAAGAAGGCCUUCGGGUUGUAAAGCCCUUUCGGCUGGGACGAAAAGGUCCGUGUUAACACCACGGAUCCAUGACGGUACCAGCAGAAGAAGCACCGGCUAACUACGUGCCAGCAGCCGCGGUAAUACGUAGGGUGCAGGCGUUAAUCGGAAUUACUGGGCGUAAAGCGUGCGCAGGCGGUCUAUUAAGACAGGUGUGAAAUCCCCGGGCUUAACCUGGGAACUGCGCUUGUAACUGAUAGGCUGGAGUGUGGCAGAGGGGGGUGGAAUUCCACGUGUAGCAGUGAAAUGCGUAGAGAUGUGGAGGAACACCGAUGGCGAAGGCAGCCCCCUGGGCUAACACUGACGCU